rnacentral:rRNA from 1 species
GAUGAACGCUGGCGGCGUGCCUAACACAUGCAAGUAGAACGCAGAAGGCGGACCUUGCUGUUCUGGUUGAGUUGCGAACGGGUGAGUAACGCGUAGGUAACCUGCCCUGUAGUGGGGGAUAACUUCUGGAAACGAUAGCUAAUACCGCAUGACAACUGCUGUUGCAUGAUAACUGUUUGAAAGUGGCAACUGCUCCACUACCAGAUGCACCUGCGCUGUAUUAGCUUGUUGUUGAGGUAACGGCUCACCAAGGCGACGAGACAUAGCAGACCGGGGAGGGGGGUCGGCCACACUGGGACUGAGACACGGCCCAGACUCCUACGGGAGGCAGCAGUAGGGCAUCUGCGGCAAUGGACGGAAGUCUGACCGAGCAACGCCGCGUGAGGGAAGAAGGUUUUCGGGUCGGAAAGCUCUGUUGUAGGAGAAGAACGAGUGUGAGAGUGGAAAGUUCACACUGUGACGGUAUCUUACCAGAAAGAGACGGCUAACUACGUG